rnacentral:rRNA from 1 species
GACGAACGCUGGCGGCGUGCUUAACACAUGCAAGUCGAACGGAAAGGCCCUGCUCUUGUGGGGUGCUCGAGUGGCGAACGCGUGAGUAACACGUGAGUAACCCGCCCUUGUCUUUGGGAUAACUCCAGGAAACUCGGGCGCAAACCCGAUAGGAGAUCCUGCAGCAUGGUGGGGGUUGGAAAGUGUCGGCGGUUGGGGAUGGACUAGCGGCUUAUCCGCUUGAUGGGGGAGUAGUGGCUUACCAAGGCUUUGACGGGUAGGCGGCCUGGGAGCGUGGCCGGCCACAUUGGGACUGAGAUACGGACCAGAAUCGUACGUGCGGCAACAGGCGAGAGUCUGACAGAGUGACCCGACGCCUGAUACAGCAGUGCUGGGAUCGUGAUACCGGGCUACGAGUUAUGAACCGCUUUGGCCUGUGACGAGGAGUGAGUGACGGUAAUGGAUAAAGAAGCAACGGCUAACUACGUG